rnacentral:rRNA from 1 species
GACGAACGCUGGCGGCGUGCUUAACACAUGCAAGUCGAACGUGAUUUUUGUGGAAAUUCUUUCGGGAAUGGAAAUGAAAUGAAAGUGGCGAACGGGUGAGUAACACGUGAGCAACCUACCUUACACAGGGGGAUAGCCGUUGGAAACGACGAUUAAUACCGCAUGAGACCACAGAAUCGCAUGAUAUAGGGGUCAAAGAUUUAUCGGUGUAAGAAGGGCUCGCGUCUGAUUAGCUAGUUGGAAGGGUAAAGGCCUACCAAGGCGACGAUCAGUAGCCGGUCUGAGAGGAUGAACGGCCACAUUGGAACUGAGACACGGUCCAAACUCCUACGGGAGGCAGCAGUGGGGAAUAUUGCACAAUGGGGGGAGCCCUGAUGCAGCGACGCCGCGUGAGCGAAGAAGGUUUUCGAAUCGUAAAGCUCUGUCCUAUGAGAAGAUAAUGACGGUAUCAUAGGAGGAAGCCCCGGCUAAAUACGUGCCAGCAGCCGCGGUAAUACGUAUGGGGCGAGCGUUGUCCGGAAUUAUUGGGCGUAAAGGGUACGUAGGCGGUUUUUUAAGUCAGGUGUGAAAGCGUGAGGCUUAACCUCAUUAAGCACUUGAAACUGGAAGACUUGAGUGAAGGAGAGGAAAGUGGAAUUCCUAGUGUAGCGGUGAAAUGCGUAGAUAUUAGGAGGAAUACCGGUGGCGAAGGCGAC